rnacentral:rRNA from 1 species
UACGGAGGGUGCAAGCGUUAAUCGGAAUUACUGGGCGUAAAGCGCGCGUAGGCGGCUUUGUAAGUCGGAUGUGAAAGCCCUGGGCUUAACCUGGGAAUUGCAUUCGAUACUGCUUAGCUAGAGUAUGGUAGAGGGAAGUGGAAUUUCCGGUGUAGCGGUGAAAUGCGUAGAUAUCUGGAGGAACACCGGUGGCGAAGGCGGCAUCCUGGACCGGUAUUGACGCUGAGGCGCGAAAGCCAGGGGAGCAAACGGG